rnacentral:rRNA from 1 species
GCCUACGGGGGGCAGCAGUGAGAAAUAUUGGUCAAUGGGAGAGAUCCUGAACCAGCCAAGCCGCGUGAAGGAAGACGGCCCUAUGGGUUGUAAACCUCUUUUGUCGGAGAACAAAACCCGGGACGUGUCCCGGACUGCGUGUAUCCGAAGAAAAAGCAUCGGCUAACUAAGUGCCAGCAGCCGCGGUAAUACGGAGGAUGCGAGCGUUCUCCGGAUUGAUUGGGUUUAAAGGGUGCGUAGGCGGGCCGUUAAGUCAGCGG